GAUAGCUCUUGUUCGUAAGGUCCUCCUUUUGAUCAUGUCGCAGACUCUGCCUGGCGUCCCAGAAACGACAUGAACACCAUACUCCAGCUUUCUAAUAUCUUCCCCUAUACUCUUCCCACCAAUGCAUGCAUGGGCUUGCACAUUUAUGUAUUCACCAAUAGCCAAUAUCACCUUCUCAGUCUGGGCAGCAAGUUCUCUAGUAGGUGACAGAAUAAGUGCCUGCACUCUGAAAAAGAAAUGCUUGAACUUAAACAGAUUAGUUUUAAUAAUGGUGAAUCAUGUGAAUGCAGAAUGGUGAAUCAGGUAUGACAUGUAUUUAUUUUUAUUAACUAUCUGAUACGAAUAUUUUAAUCAGAAAUAUUGCAUUAAACCACAAUGGCAGGAAAAGAUACAUAUAUCGAUCUCAAAUAGUUCAGAUAUUAUAAAACAUAUAAAUGUCAUAAAUAUGCCCAUACAUCAUAUAAGAAAAGAUUUUCCAGGUUCACUUUUCCAAAGUUGCAACUAUUAAUUGCAAAUAUUCAAUCUGCAGAAAAUGUGAUAUCCAAGUAGGCUUAUGAUUUUGAUCAUUAAAAUGUUUUUUGCAUCGGCUCAUUAAUUGAUAUUUAUCCCUACAACAUAUCAUCUUUCUUAAAUAUAAAGUAUCUGUUACUAAUGAAGUUUAGCCUCUGUUUCAUGUUGAUAGAAUUAAUAAUCAAUGCAGAGAAAUGAUGUGUUUUUUUCACAACAUAGAUAAGUGGAUAGGCAAAAGUGAAUCGCAUUACGACAUUUAUUUAUUCUGCAAGAUAUUAUAAAGCCUGUUCAUGCAUAACAUCGUUCAGUUAUAAUCAUGGCAAAGGUUCUUACCGUGCAAGUUGGCUUAUGUUCUGCUACAUAGGGGUCUUGAAUAGUGGUCGGAUGUAGAGAGACAUUUGGUUGUGAAUUCCAAAAAGGAAAAUAAUAUAAAUAUAUCUACACAACUUCAUAUUUAGUUCAAGUCACAGUUCCAUACAUCAUCCUCUACCGUCAUUCCUUAGCAUACUUGUAGGAAUAAUACUGUCCAUAAUUUACACUAUAUGGUAUGAUUUACUACACUAUUAAGGUUUUUGGGUUUUUGGUUAUGCAUGAAAAAGCAACAGGAUUUUCAUGCCUACCACAAUUAUAUGAAAUUUAGAUAGAAAAAUAAAACUUAGAACUUGACAUAAAUACCCUUUACUAUUACCACCUCUACAUACCACAAGCUGCUAAAUGAAUAAAGAAAACCAAACUAAAUUAUUCAAUAAACUUCUGAAUUGAUUAAUUGUUAACUACAAAGUACAAAUAAUUCCACAUAUAUCAAGCUCACGAAAUGCUUUCACUAGAAUGUCGGAGACAAGUUGCAAAAUCUUCUUGAUGUUUAAUCUUUGUUGUUGGGUUAUUAUAUCCAUUUGUAUGUAAUUAGUUAAUUUAAUAAAUUGUUCUCCAUUAAUUUCAUUGUUAUCUCAUAUAUUCUUUUAUCUUUACUGCUUUGUGUCCAUAUAUACAUUGUUUUGAAAAGUUAGAACUCCAUUUUCUAUAGUCUAAAUGCUGCAUUUAAACACUUGAGGAGGACGUAUUUUCUAAUCAUUUAGAUAUAUAGGUUGUUAAAUGUAACUGUUUUGAUCUGCCACUCCUAUAAUUUUUUCCCGCAAAAGAUGUACUUGUACUAAGACAACUAGCAAUUUUGCUAUUAAAUAUGAGGAUCCAAUUAGAUGUUCACAACAUUGUCUUUUGUUAUAAGAUUCAAAAAUUGGCCUAGAUCAAAUAAUUCAUCUACAAUACCGAAUUGAUUAGGGUUUAUUGUAUUAGAAUGAGCUGAUACUACAAACUAUGGCACAAUACAAUUUGUAUAUAGUGAGGUGAUCUGCUGAAAGACAAAGUUCUAAGCCAUAAUUUAUUUGAAGAGACUAAAUUAUAUUUAUCCAGCACACAAUCUUUUCUCAUGCUAUUCCUUCAUCCAACCUAGCUCCUGUACCCCUUUCAACCCCUAUUUACUAUUGCACUGCACGUGGAAAAAAAAUGCAACAGCAAAAUAACAUAUAAUUUCAGCUUUAAAGAAUCCACAUUAAAAUGAUCCAGAUUGAAGCUUGUUCUAUUAAUGCAUCUCCAAACAAUUAGGUUACACAAGAAAUGGCGUUCACGCAACAAUUUUCAUUUGGGAAAAGAGAAAGUCGCUUGGUCUCUUGGUAGAAAUCCAAACAUCCCUCAACAUGAAAAAUCAAUCAUGUGCUGGUCAAAUGCAAAAAUAUGUAACUGGGGAGCUCCAGUCAUGUCUACACUCUACCAAUUGUCAAACUGCUUUUACAUCUAGCUUAACCCAAAAGAAUAAUACUCACAAUUUGACAUGAUUGUCCAGCCUUCUCUAAAGUAUGUUUGAUAAUUUUCCAAAGCAACCUCUUAUGCCAUUAAAAAGGAAAAAGAUGCAACUAACAAUCCCGAUGGACAAUAGGUCAUAUAAGUUUCUGCAACCAAUAAUCCCAGCCAUCAACCAAGCUUGAAAUAGUCGAAAUCAAGUGUACAGUUCCCAUGACAUAAACCAAAUAUAAACUUAGCCUAUAAACCUAACACAAAUAAGAAUGAGAAAGAAAAAUUGACAACAAUAAGGAAGGAAAUCGAGGUAAAAGAAAAAAAGAUACAAAUCAUACUCUCGCAUGGAGGUAUCGACCAUCUGGCAGACGGACAGGGCGAUCAUAGAGGACUUCCCGGUACCGGACUGCGCCUGGGCGAUGACGUCGCGGCCAUUGAUGAUGGGAAUCACAGCCCGCUGCUGGAUCGCGGAGGGCUUCUCGAACCCGUAAGCGUAGAUCCCGCGGAGGAGGUCGUCGCGGAUGCCCAUCUGGUCGAAGCUGGUGAUGGCCUCCACCCCGGGGCUGGUCUCGAAGACGAGGUUCUCGUCGUCCAUGGG
rnacentral:lncRNA from 1 species